AGAGUUAUGGCUCAGUGGUAGAGUGCUUGUCUGCGAUACAUGAGACUCUAGUCUCUAGUCUCAGCAACUCUA
rnacentral:tRNA from 1 species